CAUCGCCCGCUUCUCUUUACCCACGCACGCAACCUCCUCCCCUGCCUCAAUGGCCGCCGCUCUCGUCUCCUCUUUUCCUCUCUCCCUCUCUCGUUUCCUCUCCCAUGUGACCCGCCGCCACGGGCGUCGCCAGCGGGAGAGUAGACGGCUCCGCUCUCCCACGCAGCCACACAAACGGCGUCGCCUCGAGGGAGGAGUGGGUGGGAGGAGAAGACGGCGGCGGCGUUUUCGUUCUGUGAUUUGCCUCGCACGUGCGGCGGUGGAUCGAUCCGGUUGCCCGCCGCCGUUGUCGCCUGCUCUCCCCACUCGCGUCACCCGACCCUAGAAAGCUCACGGCCUCACGGGGACAAGGUCCGCGUUGGCGGGCGCGGAGGAGGGGGAGAUCUCGGACGACGGAGACGGCUCCGCCGCUGCGGGGCGCGGCAGCCGGAGCGGGUUCGCCACGGAGAUGGCCGUUCGCGGCGUCGCCCUCGGGGAGAGAAGGGGAGGGGAGGGCCAGACGAAGAGAGGAGGGAGAGGGAGAAGGCGAGCCCAUGGAGAAGUGCCACCGCAAGCAGAUCUUGCCGUCGGCGGCAAGAAGGCCACGCCCCCCUCCACCUCGUGCGUUCACCCAGCAGUGGAAGCAAUGCCCUUUUCCCCCUGUUGAGAGAUCAAAUCAAAUUGCAUCGGUACGCCAUGCCGCCACCAAUUUGAUCAUGCAAACCUGAUGAAGAUAAUGUAUUAUGUGUGGCCAUUCAUGCAGAGUAUGUCUGGUUCGCCGGCCACUAUCUUGGAUACGAAUGAUCUAAAUGAUACCAAAAUCUUAGCAUCAAUGUAUCGCUGCAAUUUUCUGUGUUAUCUGAUUUAGCUGCAGGAAUUGUUGUAUCUUUGCCUUUCUUCCUUCAUAUUCUACUAGAUGGGUGCUACUCACUGUUGAAGUAUUUGUCAGUUAUACCGAUUGUGUUGUUGUAAUUUUCUCAGCUCUACCCUUUGAACUUUUUUUAUUUGUAUCAUUGCUGUUAGAUAUUUUGGCGCCUGGAAAUAAUAAUAAUAAUAGGAGAUGCUGUACAUACAGCAGCAUCCAUCCUCACUAAACAGUUGUAGUACUGGUUGUGGCUGAUCUUGUUUGCCAGGUCCUUUAUCAAUUCUGCCUGUUCUGGUCUAAAAUAUCUAUUCCUUCCUAUCCUAACUCAUUGGGUUAAUCUAGGAGGUUUCUCAUUGGAGCCAAUAGCAACAACCUCAUGUUUCAUAUGUUUUAAUUUGUGAGUUCUGACAUUCUUCAUUAUCUGCAUAUGAAAUCUAAUCCCUCCGUCCCAAAAUAUAAGAUCAUUUUUAACACUAUUAUAGUGUCAAAAAUGAUCUUAUAUAAUGGCACAGAGGGAGUAUUUCUGAACCUAUAUGAGAUGCAUACAUUUAGUAUUACCAGUCCGAGCUUCAGAGAAAGACUAACCAAUACAUGAUUUUUUUUGCAAGGAACCAUUACAUGAUCUCAUGGUAGUAGAUGGUUAUAUAUUUUUGCUCCACAUUGCAUUGUUAUGUUCAGAAUAUAUUCAUGCCUUAACAAUGCAGCUGGAAGCGAUACACGUGUUCACUGAACUGGAUUUUCUUACUCAACAAAAUAUAUUGUGAGGCUUGAAAAAUAGUUUCUUGAAGCAAAUGCUGGAGAGUAUAGCUAUAGUGACUAAUUAAACAUGGCAAGUAAUUUUGCAUGCCCUCUUAGUUUUAUUUUGUACAUCUUCUUGGAGUUUUACUCCAUUAAAUUUCAUUUGAGCACAUGCAUUUACUGUAUGAGAUAUUAGUCAUGUGUAAACCUUCAGUUAGCUUUGCUGGCACUGUAUUGCUGUUAUUUUCAUAGUGAAUAGAAUUGGGGACAUUGUACAUUUUGUGAUGUUAACAAGGAUCUGAGAAUGCAUUUCUUAACUAAGUCCUAUGAUCUGCUUAGUAGUGUGUACAAGAUGCUGCGUCCUUUCUCUUACUGUUGGUUGCAGAGGCUGUACCUAAAGGCUAAAAGGAUACUGGAGCUUAUGAAAGUGGAGAAACUCAGAAGGGAAAAUAUUGCAACUCAUCUACAGGUAUUGCGGUAUGGCAUUUACUUCCAUAAUGACCUUACUAUUCGAGUGUUAUGCCUUCCAUCCAUGAUUCAUGAGCAUUUGAUGCAGAGAGAGAGAGAAACUUUUACAGAAUUGGUACCAAUAUUAUCUGCAAAGUGGCCUUCUUAUCCUGUAUCAAAUUAAGAGGGCCAACUUUUGAUCAAAGAUUUUUUGAAAGAUAUAUUUUUAUGCAGUAACCCACUUCAGAUGAUGGAUUACUAAUUUUUUUUAGUAUUUACCUUCCUUACAUAUACAUGAUUUAGACCAUUUAUGUAUAUAUUGCCUUCAGCUCAUGGUCAAAUUCAUUUAUGUAUUUCUUCUACUGGUGAGUGUUACAACUAAACCGGUCAGGGCCUUAUUAAAAGUAUCUUAGACCUUCCUGUAAAUAGACAGUCAAAGCUUUCUUAUUAAAAAUCUCUACAUUUAUGUUUGAAAUAUUUAUGUUGCAUCAGCUCACAUUAUUCUUUUUUGUAUAACAUGACCCUUUGAUUCAGUUAUUUGGGUUCAUUGCUGAACUUUGUACUGGUUGUUCAUUUGUAUAGCUUAUGGCAAGGUACAUAUUCUAUUUAGCAUUCAUGUUUACCAUUGGUUAUGGGUUAAAGUCAGUAAAGAUGGCAUAUUCGCAUGUUUGCAAAUCACUUUUUGCUGUAUAUAAGCGCCAUCAAGGAUCAAGACCCGUGGACGUGUGCAAGCUAGAUAAGUACGCACAUGAACGCUCAGGAGGCGUGCCAAUGGCACGCCCCAGCCACUAGUUCUACAUACAAAAUAGACGGGGCGGCAACGCGCGCCAUCAUGGUCUAGUUCGAUUCACAGCUCCUCCACCUAGGGCAUCUCUCCUGCCGCCGCCGGCAGGCCACCAUGGCAUGCCCCAUCUACUGUUGCUAGCACAAAUCCAGCACAGCCUAUAGGCUCUCGCACGCGUGUCGAUUCCUUCGCCCAGAUCCGUUAAGUUUCAUGGGAGCCGAGACGGAUCUGUCCGCGCCGCCGCUGAGCCGACCGUGUCCCGGGAGCCGGAGACUCUCUUCAAAGACGAACAGGUAAGAUUUUGAACCAGGCCUGAGUUGUAGUCCGUGCUUGUCCGCUGCCCUUUCCUCCGGAAGUGCAACACAUAUCUGUGGAGCCGUGGAGGCGUGCUGCAUUUGGUUAGUUCAUCCUCUAAUUUCAUAGUGCCGUGUAUUGAUCUCUACAAUGUAGCCCAUAAUGGUUGGAAGUCUGCCAUGAUGUGGCUAAAAUUAUGAACUGAAAGCCAACUGUUGCAGUUGUAUGCCAACAAUGAAAGAAGUGAAAAAAUUAUGCAAGUAAAGCUAUAUCUAAUGUUAAUUGUAGUUAUGAAAAAUUCCAUGUCCCGCAAUGCAAUCUUAGCAGAUAGUAAAGUUAGUUUGGAGCAUAUAUAUGCAACAGUAUAUUUUUAAUCCUGGCAUAAUCAGAAGAUUGCUUGCUACAUGGACCAAGUUCUCGUUGAGUCACUCUCUUACAGCAUCUCGCAAAUCAUGAAAUCUAGUGUUCCUUAAAUGUUGGCUGUUGCUUUCUCUCCUAACAUGUCUAGCUGAAUUAUAAACAUAAUCUAUCUUAUAGAGUGUCAUAGAAUGUUUCUUACAUAUGGGAGUUGGAAACCACAUGCACAGCCUAGCACAAGUUCAGACCAAGUGCAUUAUUAGUCCAGCCGGCCAGAUGAACCCCAAGAAUAUUUUGACUAUCAGAAAUCCCAGUAGAAUUCUAUGUCAGACUGGGACAACUGAGUACUAGAAAUCUAUGUAGUUGUUCUCACUUCACAGCAGCUGGACUUAGAAAAGUUCGAUGACUCCAAAAUAGUUUUUUCAGUAUAAUAAACUAAGUUACUGACCAUUUAUGUUAAGCAAAGAUUUACUGUGCAUUAGCGUCCACCCAAAAAAAUCUUUGGGAACGACUAGAACCAUGCAUUGCUGGCUCACAUCAUUUUGUAGAUUCGAAACAAUUUGGGAACAUGUGACUAAUAUAAAAACUUUUUGUUUGACCCAGCUUAGGUAAUUGUUUUACUGCCAUUUCAGCAUGAUUGAGUUUCUUCAGUCAAAAGAUAGGCUUUCUUUGUCGUUUAACAAAUGUUAUAGGUAAAUACGACAUCAAAACACAUUUUUUUUGCACAUGGACAUCAACACUGUUUAGAUUCUUAGUAAGAGAACAAUGCCAUGGAGGGUGAGCAACAAAGUGUUCGUACUUGGCACACUGAACAAUGACUGCUACUUUCUUGGUUAUCUAUGUACGAAGUGUAAUACUCGUGGCGCCAGCCGUGUCUGGUUCUGUUCUUCUGAGUUCUCCGUCUGAGUCGGAGCUGCGUUGUCUGGCUGUAGGUCGACAUGUUGUCGAUUAGGGUGGGCUUUGCCCUGUGUGUUUCAGUCUUUGGGAGUGGGCUUGGCCCUUGUUGUUCCGGUUUUUGCCCGGUUUUCCGUAAUUAACUGGGCAAUUCUCUUCUGCUUAAUUAAUAGACGAGGCAAUCUUUGCCUCCGUUUCGAAAAAAAGUGUAAUACUCGUGUGCAAGUUCUUGCCAUUUAAAAAUUUAUGUCACUGCUGCAUGUAGCAUCAGAUGCCUAUUAGAGCUAGUUGCAGACAUAGUUAAGUUUCACUUUUUUGCAUGUUUUAGCAGUGUUAUCAGCUGAUAUCAAAAUAAUCAGCUGUUCUAAUCCUUGAUUUUGUCAUGUAGGUGUGUGCUUUUGUGCUUGCCAUGAGGAGAGUAAGGGCUCAUCAAGUGGUCUGUGGUAAAAUUGUUUUGUUUAGCUAUGUGAAUUUGUGAACUAAAAUGGUAUUCUUGUAUACGUUUCGGAUGUAUUCCCUAUAGAAAUGGUACUCUUAUAUAUAUGGUCACAAUGUGGUACUCUUGUGAAUUACUGGAGUACAAGAUAAAGAUGUCAGCAUGUGGUGCA